UAGGGAAUCUUCGGCAAUGGACGGAAGUCUGACCGAGCAACGCCGCGUGAGUGAAGAAGGUUUUCGGAUCGUAAAGCUCUGUUGUAAGAGAAGAACGAGUGUGAGAGUGGAAAGUUCACACUGUGACGGUAUCUUACCAGAAAGGGACGGCUAACUACGUGCCAGCAGCCGCGGUAAUACGUAGGUCCCGAGCGUUGUCCGGAUUUAUUGGGCGUAAAGCGAGCGCAGGCGGUUAGAUAAGUCUGAAGUUAAAGGCUGUGGCUUAACCAUAGUAGGCUUUGGAAACUGUUUAACUUGAGUGCAAGAGGGGAGAGUGGAAUUCCAUGUGUAGCGGUGAAAUGCGUAGAUAUAUGGAGGAACACCGGUGGCGAAAGCGGCUCUCUGGCUUGUAACUGACGCUGAGGCUCGAAAGCGUGGGGAGCAAACAGGAUUAGAUACCCUGGUAGUCCACGCUGUAAACGAUGAGUGCUAGGUGUUAGACCCUUUCCGGGAUUUAGUGCCGUAGCUAACGCAUUAAGCACUCCGCCUGGGGAGUACGACCGCAAGGUUG
rnacentral:rRNA from 1 species